AUCACUGCUUAAUUGAGAACUUGACAAACAAAUGGAGGAGGAGGUCUUUUAUUUUUAAAAGGAAGAUUGAAGAAGAAGGGAAGAGAACAAAAAGGAGAUUUAGAGGUAGGAGAUUUAAAAAAAAAAUCUGGUCUACUUCUCUUUCUUCAACAUAAGCAGUAUUCUUCAUCUAUGAAAACCACUCCAGAAGUCCCUUAAAAUACCAUAUAAUGCUCUGCAAAUACCAGCUAUAAAACUAGCCUUUAACAGUUACAUAGACAAACUGACAACACAAGAAAACAGCCACUAAAACCUCCAAAUACUGCCUCAAAUCUCUUCCCAAAUACAGCAGCGAAAACCAGUCCAAACACACCUCACAAAAUAACUCCAUAACCACCAGUGCUACUAUUAGAAUUUUGGAGUUUCAAGUUUACAUAUUGUUGGUUUUGUUUGUGGUUCGAGAGGUCCGUCUAGGUUUCCGCCGGCAAAGGUUUACGGUCAUGGUCUUUGUUGUCGGCUCGAUGGUUAAUGUAAAGUUUGAUCCCGUCAUUAUAGAGGUCCAUUUUCAAUCUAAUCUUUUAUCCUGCAUUUGGAUCUAGCAAAAGAAAUUUCAUUAGCUGUGAGUAGUACAGGUUGUUUGCGUGCCAUAUUUUUGCCAUACUUUAAAGUUUAAUUUGGCCCUUUAACUUGGUACCAUGAUAUUUGCC
rnacentral:lncRNA from 1 species